rnacentral:tRNA from 1 species
GGGGUUGUGGCUCAGCAGUAGAGCGUUCACCUUGCAUGUGAGACCCUGAGUUCGAUCCUCGGCACCA